UUUUCCCAGCAUAUCGUCCUGAACGCUCCCACUGUCAUCGGAUACCGGAAGCUGAGGAGGGUAAGGUCUGAUUAGUAGUGAGAUGGGAGACCACCAAGGAAUGCCAGAGAUCUCCAAGGAGAGC
rnacentral:rRNA from 1 species